UACGGAGGAUGCAAGCGUUAUCCGGAAUGAUUGGGCGUAAAGCGUCCGCAGGUGGCGAUGUAAGUCUGCUGUUAAAGAGUGAGGCUCAACCUCAUAAGAGCAGUGGAAACUACAUAGCUAGAGUACGUUCGGGGCAGAGGGAAUUCCUGGUGUAGCGGUGAAAUGCGUAGAGAUCAGGAAGAACACCAGUGGCGAAGGCGCUCUGCUAGGCCGUAACUGACACUGAGGGACGAAAGCUAGGGGAGCGAACAGG
rnacentral:rRNA from 1 species